AGUGAACGCUGGCGGUAGGCCUAACACAUGCAAGUCGAACGGCAGCACAGUAAGAGCUUGCUCUUACGGGUGGCGAGUGGCGGACGGGUGAGGAAUACAUCGGAAUCUACUUUUUCGUGGGGGAUAACGUAGGGAAACUUACGCUAAUACCGCAUACGACCUACGGGUGAAAGCAGGGGAUCUUCGGACCUUGCGCGAUUGAAUGAGCCGAUGUCGGAUUAGCUAGUUGGCGGGGUAAGGGCCCACCAAGGCGACGAUCCGUAGCUGGUCUGAGAGGAUGAUCAGCCACACUGGAACUGAGACACGGUCCAGACUCCUACGGGAGGCAGCAGUGGGGAAUAUUGGACAAUGGGCGCAAGCCUGAUCCAGCCAUACCGCGUGGGUGAAGAAGGCCUUCGGGUUGUAAAGCCCUUUUGUUGGGAAAGAGAAGCAGCAGGUUAAUACCCCGCUGUUCUGACGGUACCCAAAGAAUAAGCACCGGCUAACUUCGUG
rnacentral:rRNA from 1 species